rnacentral:lncRNA from 1 species
GGGCUCGCCAAGCAGCAGUGGCUGCAACUCAGCCAGUGUGGGUAUUCAUUAUUAAAGAAAUGGACCGGGCUCUUUUUACUAAGUUUUUAUCUCCUUUAGGGAGAGCUGGUUUUGCCCUGGAUCGAAGCUCCUUGCAAAAUCUAGGUUAGAAUGGCACGGAGCAGCCUCCGCGCGCUCGCCAGCCUCCCAGCACCCGUGUCCCGGGCCGGCCUGGCGGGCACCUGGUCUACUGCCGGCAGCCCACCUCCUUGAGCCGACCCGCUUCCCCUCUGCACUGGCCCUGGCACCCCGGGGCCUCUCCCUUGCGUUCCUCGGCCCCCUCCCACCACUGUCGGUGCAAAGUGACAGUUGCUGCACUCACCUUUUCUAGGACAUGGUAGGGAGACUGGGGCGGGGGAGGGGGCCAGCGAGACUCCCGCCGCCUCCGCCGCUGCCGCCGUCAACAGCAAGUCCAAUACCGGCUGAUCGGCAAUCAGGAUGGAGAGGAUAGCAAUCCUGGCAGUCGCCCUACUGACGUUUUCAAAGUGUCUUUGGGCAACCCUGGAAUUUGACCUGCAGAGUUUCUGUAAUGGGUUCCUUAUUGCUUCUCAUGACUGGUACACUUUAACACACUCAUUUGCUCUUUAUAUUUCCUGGAUUCAAAGUUGUGAUUAGGCCUGCGGUCUCCUAUAUUCAGGAACAUACAAGUUAAUUAUUUUCAGAAGGAGCAAUGCAAUGUCUAUGUUUUACUCAAAUGUUUAACAAAGUGAAAUGUAUGUACACUUAAGUUCAUCAAUUUCAAAUAUGGUAUUUUAUGAGUUUUGAGAAAUAUAUGCAGUCAAGAAACUUGUCACAAUGAUACAGACAUGUCCACGAUCCUGAAAGCUUUGUGUGCCUUUUGUAGUCAGAUUCCUCUGGCUGCCUACUGAAGACCACUAAUUUUCUUUUAUCACGAUGGCUUUGGCUUUUCUAGAAUUUUAAGCAAUUGAAAUUGUGUGUCAUAGCAUCUUUUGUUUUCUUGUUCUUUCAUGUUUGAGAAUUACCUCUGCUUCUGUGUGUAUUGGUCAUAUGUAUGUAUGUAUGUAUGUGUAUUUGAUACAGGUUUUACCUAUAUGUCCCAGGUUUCCCUGGAACUCACAAUUUUUCCCCAGCCUCCUGAGGGCUAGGAAGGGAGGCAUGCAGCAGCACACUUACUUCUUUCAUUGUUGAGUGGUGUUUGAAUACGGAUAUGCUAUGUAUUGUUUGUUCAUCCAUUCAAUACUUGAUGGAGAUUUGGGUUACUUCAAGUUUGGGGCCAAUCUGUAUAAAACUAUUGAAUAUAACUGAUGCCUGAUCAAUUCAUUAAAACAGCCAAAUACUUAGACUUUCUCUCUUCCUAGCAUGGAUUCCUUCCCAGGUGCUGAGAACUGUCCAUGCAGUAAGAAUUUCAAGUCAUUUCAUUUUGUACUAUAGUCACAGUUUGUAUUUGUGUUCUGGUCUGUUAGCCUCUCAGUUUGCCAUUUCCCAAAGUAUUAGCCUUAAAAGUAGUUGUGUUUUAUUAUUUCUUUUCACUUAUAAUUUUGUUUAAACUUUCAGUACUUUUUUAAAUGAAAGAUAAAACUCUACAUCUACUACUUAAUGACCCAGGGGUAAACUUUCUGGAAAGGCAGGAUUAAUGACUCAUUCUUUCUUCUAACUUAUUUAAUUUUUGAGAUAAUGAAUUAGUUUCUAGACACCCACAGGUGGUUAAUUAAUCUUAGAUACAUAGUUGUGAUGAAUGGUUAAUUCCCAUAUUAGUCUGUUUCCCAUAUUCCAACAAAAUAGCCAACAUGUAUAAAAGUAUCACAAAAAACUAUGAGUACAAAAGAGAAAUUCUCAGCAAGCAUAUCAUAUAACACAUACCUGCAAAAAUUACACAAAUUUAAUGGAACUUAUUCAAGGUUUGCGAGAUUCAAAAUGAAUAAAACAUACUGAUGUAAUUCAUUGCACUCACAGGCUAAAGAAAAGGCCUGAGAUCAUGUUCUAUC